rnacentral:rRNA from 1 species
GACGAACGCUGGCGGCGUGCUUAACACAUGCAAGUCGAACGGAAAGGCCCUGCUUUUGUGGGGUUCUCGAGUGGCGAACGGGUGAGUAGCACGUGAGUAACCUGCCCUUGACUUUGGGAUAACUUCAGGAAACUGGGGCUAAUACCGGAUAGGAGCUCCUGCUGCAUGGUGGGGGGUGGAAAGUUUCGGCGGUUGGGGAUGGACUCGCGGCUUAUCAGCUUGUUGGUGGGGUAGUGGCUUACCAAGGCUUUGACGGGUAGCCGGCCUGAGAGGGUGACCGGCCACAUUGGGACUGAGAUACGGACCAGACUCCUACGGGAGGCAGCAGUGGGGAAUAUUGCACAAUGGGCGGAAGCCUGAUGCAGAAACGCCGCGUGCGGGAUGACGGCCUUCGGGUUGUAAACCGCUUUCGCCUGUGACGAAGCGUGAGUGACGGUAAUGGGUAAAGAAGCACCGGCUAACUACGUG